GUCGAGGGUGGCGGCAAGGCCCGGUAGCGCGGCGUGCAGCCGUGCGCGGUCUUCGGGCGGGACGAGCGACAGUUCAUGCCCGAAGGGGGCGGGGGACGCCAUGGCCUGUUCGCCCAGCGCGGUACGCAUGCCCGACAGCAGCGCGUUGAACGCCUGCACCUGCCCGAAGGCGGCGUCGGCGGCGAAGCCCCGUGCGGGGUCGCCCAGCCGUUGCGUCACCGCCGAGAGGCUGCGCAUGUCGGGCGCAUCCAGACGGGCGGCGAGGGCGGCACGGGCUGUGGCGUCGCCAUCCAGACCCGCAAGGGCGAAGGCCAUGCCCCCGCACUGCUGCAACAGCCUGCCACGGGCCUCGGCGACGGUGGGGGCCGCGCCAGCUUCGCCCGCUUCACCCGGUGCCCCCAAUGCCCGGUGCGCGGGCAGCGCAGCAAGGCGCUG
rnacentral:misc_RNA from 1 species